CAGAGGCAGCAUGCCCUGCCGUCGGUGCCCAGUGCGAGGCGGACUCUCCGAGGCUUGGCUGCGAGGACCAGUGGGUGUGUGUGACCGACCUCCCAGCAGGCUUUCCCAGCUUUCUCUAGACAAGGUGCAGCGCAGUAGGUCUACAAGGACUAGCGGCGAGUGGGGGCUGGGUGCGUCCACUGGCCUGUGGCAUCACAUUCUGUUCUCUUAGCUCCUUGGAGCAGGAAGGCCUCAUCACACCGGAAUUCACAGGUGGGGGCUGGCUGUGUCCACUGGCCUGUGACGUCACAUUCUGUUCUCUUAGCUCCUUGGAGCAGGAAGCCCUCAUCACACUCUGACCAGCAGGUGCUGCUGCUGACCAGGUUCCAGACGCCAGGCAGGUGAGGCUGAAUGGUCCCAUCAGAGUGUGACCCACCUUACAGGAGAAAUUACAGGUGGGGGCUGGGUGCGUCCACUGGCCUGUGGCGUCACAUUCUGUUCUCUUAGCUCCUUGGAGCAGGAAGCCCUCAUCACAC